UUUAGUACCAAGUAGGGUAAUUAACAAAUAUAUAAAAUAAUAAAAACUAAAACAAAGUAAUAAUAAAAAGAAUAAAAUAGAAAAAAUCACACAAAAAAAGAAGAGGGAAGCCACAAACAGUGGACUUCCCCGCUGCACCUAUUACACGUCCAGCAAGAGGAAGCUGUCGGGAUCCAUGGAGGCCACGCAUCGGAAUGAACAGGGGAGUCCAGGUAGCAUCAGCGACGACGCGUGGAGAGGAGGAGGACAAAACCCAACCAAGUUCACCCUCUGGUCACGCCUCAAACCACUGGCAGUUCUCUAGGACCUCAAAAGUUUGUCUCCGGUGAGAAAACAGUAUAGUGAUGAAUGAAAAUGAAGAAGAUGACAUAUGAAGGGAAGAGGUUGUUGUGUUUGUGUUUUGUUUAGGGGCUGAACUUUGUGUUUCUCCUUAGGGGUUGCCUCCUCAUUUGGUUGUGUUAGCUAAUGCCCCAUUUGUGUGUUAUCUUCUCUUUUUUAUGGGCUGUUGAUUUAGCUUUUUUUUGGUUGCUAAAGCCAUUGAAGUGUUGAAGUAUGAAUUUAAGGAUAAGGUGCUCCUUUGGAGGCUGAGUGUGUUUCAAAAAAAUGGGUGUCGUGUAAAAGCUGCUGAAUUAGGUUUAAGGAUA
rnacentral:lncRNA from 1 species